rnacentral:rRNA from 1 species
GAUGAACGCUGGCGGCAUGCCUAAUACAUGCAAGUCGAACGAGAGGAAGGAAAGCUUGCUUUUCUGAAUCUAGUGGCGAACGGGUGAGUAACACGUAGGUAACCUGCCCAUGUGCCCGGGAUAACUUCUGGAAACGGAUGCUAAAACCGGAUAGGUAGCAGACAAGCAUUUGACUGCUAUUAAAGUGGCUAAGGCCAUGAACAUGGAUGGACCUGCGGUGCAUUAGCUAGUUGGUGAGGUAACGGCCCACCAAGGCGACGAUGCAUAGCCGGCCUGAGAGGGCGGACGGCCACAUUGGGACUGAGACACGGCCCAAACUCCUACGGGAGGCAGCAGUAGGGAAUUUUCGUCAAUGGGGGGAACCCUGAACGAGCAAUGCCGCGUGAGUGAAGAAGGUCUUCGGAUCGUAAAGCUCUGUUGUAAGAGAAAAACGACAUUCAUAGGGAAUGAUGAGUGAGUGAUGGUAUCUUACCAGAAAGUCACGG